rnacentral:lncRNA from 1 species
CCUCCCUGCCAGCUGGCCGCGGGCCCCACGUGUCAGCGAGACUUGGCCGGGCCCCGCCCCUGCUGACUGGAUUAAGUGGAGGCGUAAACUCGUGAGUACGUUUUGUUUCCAGAAAGCGUAUUUUCCCUCUACUUCGGCCAAAGUAUGUUUUCCUUUCCUGAAAGCGUAUUUCCAGUCUUCUUCAGCCCCGAAUGCGUUUUCAGUUUAGUGAAAGCGUAUUUCGCUGAUUGCGCUUUCUGUUUUUCUGUCCAGGCCCUGUUUGAAAAUAUUUUCAUUACAGAUGGGUCCCUGGCAGAAAACACCUCAUAUCUUUUUAACCACAACUCCAAAUGAGGUGAUUCCAAAGCCCAUUUCUUCGUUUCGUCGAGCCCAUUCUGUUGGCUUCAUUUUCACUAUGGUUUGACACUGUGAAAAUGACCUUUUUGUCCUUGCACGUAAACAGCCCCUCCGAGAGAGAACUGUUUUCGGCAAAUCUCUCCGCGGCUUCACCGCACUUCUCCCCGAUGCCUUCUUCAUCCCCAGGCAACCCACAAUACCCACUUGCAUGAUAGUCAUGCAAUAGCCAUGUUUUCAACUUGAAUCUUUAUUAAAUGAUUGCUUGUUUAAAAUAUGGUUAUCGUUGUUUCGGUAAUGCUUCUGGGUUAGUGCUUACUUGCUUGCUAUGUUGUUAUGCACCUGGUUAUCAUGCCCUGCUAGUUGCUAGUAUUACUUUCAUAUUGCCAUGCUUGAUAGUAGUACAUGUUAGGUUGGUCAUGUUCUUCGGUGCAUGACUAACGCCAUGGGAAGGUCCUAACUGGGUCUAUUGUCGUGCCUCUCGCCAGUGCCUCCAACGAGGGAAGGUUAUGGGCGCGCGCUACCCUGAUCAGGUAGGCGGACCUAACCUUGUGUGCCCGUUGUUGUUAUUAUGGAUCCGGUCCCCGUGAGGGACGUUUUGGCCACGACGGUGGUCGUUGUGUCUUUGGUAGACACGGGGCCACCCAGGACUAGCCUAGUGGGGAGUGAGUCGGAGUGGCUGGGAGAGCGUCAUGGUAGUAGAUCGGUUUUGUCGAAACGCCAUUGGUCCACCCGAAUGGGAAUGCGAGGCCAUGGGUUCCGUGGUGUGGGUACAGUGUACUAACCUCUGCAGAGUGUAUACUAAAUCUAUCGAUAGCCGCGCCCGUGAAUAAGGGCCCAGUUCGUGUCGGUCACACCGUGAGUCAACAGUAUUAAUAAUAACUUGAUUAAUGACAACCCCGGUUCGAUGAUGAGAUAAGUUGGUUGUGAUCGCCGGAAAGAUCACCGUGUAAGACCAAGUGUUGGUCAUGGUUGUGAUCGCCGGAAAGAUCACCGUGGUAUCGAGGAUACCGAGUUGUUGUAUAUUCGUGAUGUUGUGCGAGAAUCAUGGGUAAAGAUCAAGCUCCUUGUGGUGGUUUAAUGAUUACUACGGUAUUGUUUAUACCAAGCUUGAUAUGAUCCUGAGAUGAUCGUGUGAUGUCCGAGGUUGGUAAGUGAUGCAUGUGAUGGUUAUGAGGUAACCCGAACAGAAUAAAUAGUGCAUAUAGUGUCAUCAUGUUGCUUGCUAGUAUCGUCAGAUUCAUAUGUUCAUGCCAUGCUCAUGUUGUUCUAGCUGUAUCAUGUUCAUGUUGCUCAUGUCAUGUUGUUAUGAGGAUCUCAUGUUAAUUCCUGUUUAACUUGUAAUUGCCAUGCUGAUGUUUGUCUUGAAUGCUUCUGGUUAUUGUGAGCUUGCAAGUACAUUCAAUGUACUGACCUGGCGUGUCAUGCCAGCUUGCUGGUCGUGCCUGGAUUGCUUGCUUGUUUGGUGUUGUCCCUGUGUUCGCGAGCUAGGAUAAGCGUUCCAGCCAGAGUCCCUGCGGACUGGAGUUCACCACCGUUGUUGUUGUUCCGCUGCUAGAAGUUUUUCCGCUGCUUCGAGUUGUUCUGCUGCUUGCAUAGAGCAACUGAGGAUGGCGUAGUGUCGCCGUGCCGAUGUUAUUCAUUGUAAUAUCGGAGACCUUGUAUUCAUAUUCGUGUAAUAAUAGAAAGCUGGUUUGUUCUAUGCUAAGCAGUGCCGUAUUCCAGAAGACUUCUCCUCGAUCUCUGGGCUGGAAUACGGGGUGUUCCGGUUUUCUCUGAGCCGGGGUGCCACAGGCUUGGUAUCAGAGCAAGUCUGGCUGUAGGAUGCCCUAGCCCGCGCGAACAUUAGAAAGCGGUAGUGUAGACCCCAGUUGGUUUGUUGCACUUGAUUGUUGCAUUUGUCUAUCGCAUAGCAUGCAUAUAGAUUGUUAUUUUGUAAGUAACGGUUAAUCUUGUGAGUGUAGGUGGCAUCGUUUUGGGUCCAUCGCCUGCACCAUCUUUCUUAGCAUGCCUGCUCCUCGGUGUGAUGCGACCACAUCAUCAUCCAUGCCCUCCAUCUCGUCCCCUUGGCAACCCUUGCUGAUCUUUGUUAUCAGAAAAGGGCAAUGCCAAUAAACCCAGUCUUCCACUGUUAUCUUGCCAUGUCAUUUCAUUCUUUGGACGGGUACGAUUCCCUUCGUACGCUUGAUGAUGAGGUGGUCGUGACUUUUGUGUCUCGCUACUUGAUCGUCAAGUCCGUUCUCACCUGUGUAUCCAUCCAGAUCCAGCCACUGUUCAGCUAGUGCUUGGUGUAGCUUCGGUUACGCCAACUCCUUCCACACAUGGAUAUAAUUUUCGUGCACACCGCCACAGCAUAUUGGACCGUAAUACCGGAGUUUCUGCGUGAUUUGUGUGCUUAGGUGUGCAUGCAUAUUAUGGUGUGAGUAGCAGUAAUAUGUGAUGACUGCUUGAUUAAUUAUAUUAGUAGUAUGCUUGGGUGCUUUUGUUUUAGUCGUUUCUUUGGUUUCUUUCUUUGGGCCUUCGGUGUUACAAAAUUUUCCCCUAUUAAAGUUGCUCGUCCGCCGACACCGGACCCGAAGAGUCAGCAAGAAAUGCAUAUAUUUGGAAACUCAGCUAAACAGAAUGGAAUUGUCAGCAGACUGCAGUGAAAUUGGAAAUAGCUCGUCUGAAUACAAAAGAAAUCCUGGAUGGAAUGUCAGUAUAAAGUUUGCAUUAACGUGCACUCCUCAUAGCAGAAAUGAUCAAAUCCGCAAGAAGAUAAAUUGUGUGCAAGGUUGACAAAAUAUUAUCAAAGGUAUGGCUCAGAUACAAGUUUAAUUUUUCGUUGAGGAUGAUUUUGGGACCCGAUGUACCUGGAAGCAAGCAAAAAUAUGGCAUGUACUCAGAAAGGAGGAUAGUCCUGCAAAACCCCGUUUCAUACAAGAAAUCAAUAACAAAAAUAUUAAGAUGGUUAUAUAUGUGGAAAUCGGUCCGCAUAUUACAAUAAGGAGCUUCUGGUGUAAGCAACCGUAAAAGCUUCCGGCAUAAGGUACUGAGUCUUUCCCCAGCAAAGUCUUUAAGGGGGUAAGCUUCUGAAGCACGAUACCCAGUCUUCUUCAGCAAGCUGUCCGAUGAAAGUUUCAAGCACAAGCCAGCCAAUCUUCCUCAGUAAGAAAUUGGUACAAGGUAGUACGCUGUGAAUUGAUAGCAUAUGGUAGUGAAUCCCAAGAAUCAGAUCCGCAACAUUUUGGUCAGAAGCAAGAAUCGGUCAGAAUACACGUCUGUCUCGAGAAUCAGAUUCUCAUAUAUAUGCGGUGAGCAUACCACCAAGAUCUUACAAGUCACUCGGAUGAGGAUCUGGCAACCACGUGAGGAUGGUUAAGAGAAGAAAGCCAGUAUACACCGCAGUGUGACAAAGGAUUAUGAGGAUUGACGACAUCAAUGAGCUCAAUACAAGUACCUGUGAACCUGGAAAAUGAUCCUGAUGAGCCCUUGUCCCCUUUUUCUCCAAUGACGGCACCGCGCCUGUGAUCUAAGCUAUUUUUUGCUAUCCAGGGUGGAUGCCGAUUUUUAUUUCUCUCUUCAACGACUGUCACGAGUUCUGAGCUGCUUUUCGGUCGUCUCGUACAGCUGUUGAGUUUCUUUUUGAGAUAGUAGCCCUAUAGCUGCUUUUUGGCUAUUUUAGGGAGCUGACACCUUCUUCUUAUCAACCCGGUCUCAUGUUCUGAGCUGCUUUUCGGCCGUCUUGAGCCGUGGUUGAGUUAUUUCAGUAAUGUCCCGGAUAUGAGUUGUAAAGACCGUUCUGGUGGCUACUGAUUUAUUUGCCGAUUUCUUGCAAAGGUUCGGAUGAUCAUUUUUCUGCGGUCAGAACUUGAGGGGUGUUGAACCUGCCAUUUAAUGGGGUACCCUGUCAGAAAAAUAAGGAUAAGCUACGAUUGCCGAAAAAUUGCACCAACAAUACAUAUGGUGAUACGAAGAAGCAAUAUGACCCAGCUCUUUCAGCCAAGGAUCCAGACCAAGAAAACAAUAAUGAAGGAGCAAGACCAGUGAUGCAGGCGACAAUCAAAUAUUUGGUACGGAUCCGAUACUCAAGACAGUGGAACCAGUUAAGAUGAUUCAGAAACUUCCGCGAUAAGCCAGAAUCUGUCAGGAAAGCGGUUAUGACCCAACUCACUGUUUGGAACCCAAAGGACCUGCAUUUAGUGGAAAAACCCAAUGCAAGGAGUUAGAGCUUGGGUGUCCACUAGAAAAAUCUGAUCACCACUUCAUGAAAGAUUGUCAGUGCCGGACGACACAACCAGCGGAACUCUUGGAUUUAUGAGACCGACAUAUAUUUCAGUCGUGAGAAUCAAUCACAGUCAGCUAAGUCAACAGAUCUAAAAAGAAAUUGGAGCCUGUAUAAGCAGGAACAAGCCAGGUAAGAUUUGUUAGAAUAUGGGUAUAUUCAAGCAAACCACCCCAGGGUCAGUCAGAUAAAAAUUUAGUGGGAACAAAAAUAAGAAAAAGGAUACCCGAGUUGGAAACGGUUUCCUUAAGUCAGUAUCUUCAUACUUGUUCCCUGAGCAACCAAAUCUCGAGGACGAGAUUUCUUUAAGGGGGUAAGGUUUGUGAGAGCCUGAUAUUUGGCCCUUUCUUUUUCUUUUGUUUUUCUGAGGUUUUUGCUUGAGUUUUCUUUUUCCGUGGCUUUGUGGUCUGGAAACUGAAGAAGAUGAACUCUUCUUUGCUUCCAGAGUGGCUUGUCAUACCCAAAUACUUCCCUAGACCCUGUCAUUUUUCAUCCUAGCCCAAAUCCCAAUAUUCUUUUUAUUGGGAAUAUUCCUUUUCUAUUAAAGGAAUAACUCAAAUUGCCCUAGGUUGUGAAGCAACCUUUAUUUCCAUCACUCCUAAAAUUCCCAAAUAAUUCUCAUAAUUUUUUUGGGUCAUAUCUUUCUCAAAUAUGACAAGAUAUUUCAUUUGUCAUGUUUAUCAUCAUGCUCAAAUAAUUCAUUUCCUAUUCUGCCCUAAAUGGCACAUUGUGAAGCAAGUGCUAUUUUCCUUUUCCCAAUUUACCUCAAACUCCUUGGACACCUUUUCCUGUCCAUAUCAUUGCCACAUGCCAAAAUGCAACCUCAUUUGCCUAGUAAUUAUUUAAUUAUGAUUUUCCAAAGUUUCUAUCCAGAAAGAAGCUUUGUGAAGGAGGUGCAAGAUAGGCGUAUCCAAAUGAGUUGCCAUUUUGCAUGAUCCCUCAUAUCAUCAUAUCAUAGCCCUCCACCAAAGUAGAGCUCAUGUCAUGCCUCCAUGAGAGCUCACCUUCAAUUCUUUGAUUCUGUCCAAAAUUUAAGCUUGUGAAGUAAGUAUAUUUUAUCUUGCUCCAUUAUGGCUGCCAAUUUGUCUAGGCCUUCUAUUAUCAAUAUAACCUACCUCCACCCAUUUUGGGCAUGUUUCAUCAAGCCAUUUUUCCUCUAGAAUUUUUGCAAGUUUAUGUCCUGAGGAGAUGUUUGUGAAGCAAGUACCAGUUUGGCUUGGCCAAUUGGUAUGAGACUUUUUGAGCAUCUUCAUAGGACCAAAUGACUCUGCCUUGCCCAAUUUGAGCUCAAGUUGAUGCUUCAUCAGAGUGCAUCAUCCUAAUCUAGUUUCUGGACCAGUUUAUGUGGUUGUUAAGCAACUACAUUAAAUCUUGAUCCUAAUCCUCUCCAAGUUACCAGGGUGAAAGUUCUUCUUACCAUAAACCUCGCAGACAACUCCAUUUCCAUCAAUCACCUUCAUGUUGAUCACCAGUGCUCACCCAAGUUUACUGCAGUAAACUUCAGAGGUUAAUUACCAUUCAACCGGAGCUCUUUUAACCAAACUACCACCGUAGUUGCAACCUACCCAGGAAGGACUCCACCCCAUACAUCGUUUGCCAUCGCUUGUGGCACUGUGUGGACCAGUGCGCGCGGUGACCACCUCUCUAGCAUGCCAUGGACGCGAGCUGGAUGGUUUCUUGCUCGGGCCCCUCCCCCUCUCGUCGGCUUCGUGCGCGUGAGCCUGUCCAGCAGAUAGCCCUCGUCGUCGCCCACUCCCUGGACCCCUCUCCCCCUCCGUCCGCUUGCUCACCGACGCUCGCCGCCGCGUGACCACGGGCGAACACUGGCCAUUUGGUUCUGUUUGUCGCCGUCUUCUUCCUCCCCGUGCUCCGUGGGCUCCCUCUGCCCCGUGGGCUCCUCCCUGUGUCUCCCUGUCGCCUUCCCCCGAGCUCAUGCGCGAGCACACGCGUCCGCGGCGACGCCAGCGUGACACUCCCUCGCCCGGCUAUAAAUAGCCAUCCCCGGCCUCGUUCGAGCUCACCACCAGCCUCGCCUCGCUCCUCUAGGCCUCCCCGACCCCUCAGAUCAUCGCCGGAGCCCCUCCCUGCUCGCCAUCGCCGCCAUGGCCGCUGCAGCCACCGUCGGGCUCCACUCGAAUCCGAGCAGCCCCGGGCUCCUCCCCUCUUUCUUCCACCUCCACUAGACCACCUGGAGUACCCUGAGCCUCCCCAACUCUUCGCUUUCUCUUCUGGUGGCCCGGAGCGCCGUGCCCGCAUCUGCCUGACGCUGCCGUCCGUCGCCGUCCAAAACUACAGUCGCCUCGUCCAUCUCCGGCGACUGCUGUGCCCAGGGCCGCCUCCGUCUCGUUCCCGUGCAUCCGUGGGUAGGCCGAGCACCACCUGCGGUGGACUGUGCCGCCGUGGGGGCCGGCUCUGCCUCGGCCAGGCGCGGGCGAGAGCAAGGAGAAGAAGGAGAUGACCCCCUCCCUGCCAGCUGGCCGCGGGCCCCGCGUGUCAGCAAGACUUGACCGGGCCCCGCCCCUGCUGACUGGAUUAAGUGGAGGCGUAAACUCGUGAGUACGUUUUCGUUUCCAGAAAGCGUAUUUUCCCUCUGCUUCGGCCAAAGUACGUUUUCCUUUCCUGAAAGCGUAUUUCCAGUCUUCUUCAGCACCGAAUGCGUUUUCAGUUCAGUGAAAGCGUAUUUCGCUGAUUGCGCUUUCUGUUUUUCUGUCUAGGCCCUGUUUGAAAAUAUUUUCAUUACAAAUGGGUCCCUCGCAGAGAACACCUCAUAUGUUUUUAACCACAACUCCAUAUGAGGUGAUUCCAAAGCCCAUUUCUUUGUUUCGUCGAGCCCGUUCUGUUGGCUUCAUUUUCACUAUGGUUUGACACUGUGAAAAUGACCUUUUUUCCCUUGCACGUAAACAGCCCCUCCGAGAGAGAACUGUUUCCGGCAAAUCUUUCCGCGGAUUCACCGCACUUCUCCCCGAUGCCUUCUUCAUCCCCAGGCAACCCACAAUACCCACUUGCAUGAUAGUCAUGCAAUAGCCAUGGUUUUCAACUUGAAUCUUUAUUAAAUGAUUGCUUGUUUAAAAUAUGGUUAUCGUUGUUUCGGUAAUGCUUCUGGGUUAGUGCUUACUUGCUUGCUAUGUUGUUAUGCACCUGGUUAUCAUGCCCUGCUAGUUGCUAGUAUUACUUUCAUAUUGCCAUGCUUGAUAGUAGUACAUGUUAGGUUGGUCAUGUUCUUCGGUGCAUGACUAACGCCGGUUACCGAGUACUGUUAAUAUGCGUUGUUCCUUUGCUGUUAGUUGGCUAAGUGUUACUCGGUAAUGUUAUUGAUGAGUUCUCACAUGGUAUUUAUGGUUGAUGCUAGUGGUCAUGUUAUACUAUGAGUAGUGUUGCACUUGUAAUAUUUAUGCUCAUCAUUAUGCCAUGUUCAGUUGGAGAUUAUUCAUAGUUGAUAUGGUGGAUAGUUAUGUUGCAUCCCGUGCUUAUGUUGAUAUCAUGCUCAUGCUUUGUCUAUGCAUCAUGUUAUUUUAUCAUGGCUCAGCAUAUUGCAUUCAAGUUUAACCGGAUUAAAUUGAACUUGAACAACUGUUGGCUGAGUCAUGGUGCCACCAUAUCGAAACUGACCAGUGCAACCACGCUUACCGUUAUGGGAAGGUCCUAACUGGGUCUAUUGUCGUGCCUCUCGCCGGUGCCUCCAACGAGGGAAGGUUAUGGGCGCGCGCUACCCUGAUCAGGUAGGCAGACAUAACCUUGUGUGCCCGUUGUUGU